ACUUAAAUAGUUUAAGAAAAAUGUUGAUUUGUGGUGUCAAAGUUAUAGUUUAUAUUUUAGGUU
rnacentral:tRNA from 1 species